rnacentral:rRNA from 1 species
UACGGGGGGGGGCAAGCGUUGUUCGGAAUUACUGGGCGUAAAGGGCUCGUAGGCGGCCAACUAAGUCGGAUGUGAAAUCCCCAGGCUUAACCUGGGUGCUGCAUUCCAAACUGGAUAUCUAGAGUGCAGGAGAGGAAAGUAGAAUUCCUAGUGUAGCGGUGAAAAUGCGUAGAGAUUAGGAAGAAUACCAGUGGCGAAGGCGACUUUCUGGACUGUAACUGACACUGAGGCUCGAAAAGCGUGGGGAGCAAACAGG